GAGAAAAACAAAUAGAAAUUUAUUAACACAUAUACCUCAUACAUACAUAAGAGAUACGCAAGGAAAAGACUUAGAAUGCCAACUUAAAUACUAUCUUCAGGUAGACAAAAGAAAGGUGUGUGUUGGGGCUGGGUGGGUAGCUGUAGGACCAGCUAUGGGAAGUGACCAGGGAAAGGAAAGGAAACAAGCUCAAGUUUUGCUAUGCAGAUUUAGGUUAGUGUCUCCUCCAUUGAUAAGUGUCUUGUGAUUCAGUAAUGCUGUUCUAGGCACAGAGAGGAAGACACCUUUACAAAUGGAGAUUUCCUUUAUAAAUGUACAUUUCCCUUCCAAAAGGGUAUUCUAGUUUGUUUUCAGAGUUUCUCUUGUGUCUACUUUCUCAAAUUAACCUCUGCCAAAGAGGUAUGUUUCGGGGUGGCAUGUUCUGCUAUCCCCCUGCAUUUAGGAAGAAUUUGAGGAAUGACUCAAUCUCUAUUUUGCAAAUAAUGAAAAAAGACUGAUAAAUUAGGCAACCUGUCCAAGAUCACAGAGGCAGCAUUUAGCCAAGGUGGGAUUCCAAUCCAGGUCUCCAAGAUACAGUAUACUUUUGUUUUUUCUCUGUUGUGCUGCAAUUUAUGCCACAGAUGGCAUCCAGGAUACAGAAGCAGCUGCUGUCUCCAACAUUCCUGAAAGGGAAUCACGAGAACUGGAUUCCAUUUAUGACUCGACCUUAAUACUGGCUAACAAUUAUUUAAUUUCGUGGGGCUCAAUUAUGCUUAGCUGUAAAAACGGCUUUUGGAUCAACCACCAAUCUUUUAAAGGUCUUUUAAUUCGAAAACUAAAAAUCUUGACAUCCGAGAAGGGAUAGGAUUCAUUGGUUUUUUUCCAAGCGGCUUCAUUCCCUACGGGCUGGCAACCGUCUACUGGCCCAAGGAUUACCCCUUCCCAUCCUAGCCUGGCGGCCGCCUCCUCCCCUUACACCUCGAGCAAUGCAGGUGCUGUCAUUCACUCCAACCUCGGCCUCGCUACACCCAGAGCAGAUUCUGAGGGGAACCCGCAACAACUUCCUCCGCGCGCCUAGGGCCCCGGAAGUGACGUCUGUGCGUGCGUGCCGGGCGCUCGCGGCGCCGGGGGCGGGGCUUGAGAGAGGGAGGGCCGGCAAGAGGGCGGGUUGUGGACUGGCGGAGCGGGGACCCACUCGAGCGACCCGCGGAGAGCAGCGGUCCCGACGCCCGUGGAACCGCAGACCAGGCGCUCGUCGCCAAGUUCUGCGCGGCCCGGCCCAACUCCGACGGACAGGCGCUUGUCAUUUCCUGGUCCCCUCCUGCCACCCGUCCACUCCUCGCAGGAUGGCUUCCCUCUGGCCGGCUUCCUCUUCACUGUCCAGCUCUCGGAGUCCGAGGGGACACCUGUGGUGGCGGCCGGUCGGCUCGUGCCCCGGGCCGCUCGGGGGUCCGUCGGGAUUGACGGCUCAGACCCAGAUCGCAGCCCCGCCUUGGCCGGGGCGUCGGGACUUCACGAACCUGCGUCGGUCUUGCGGAGGGAAAGGUCCCGGAGCAGGGAGGGUGCAGUCUUUCGUGGUGCGGGGACUUGAAGACUUGUCCUAACUUUCGCCCGGUGGUUGAGGGGGAACUUGUGGGCCUGGGGUUAGGAGCAGAAGUCCCUGCUUCCGAACUGUCUCGGAGGGGAACAGAGGUGAUGCCCAUCACGGAAGUUUAGUCAGAGGGAGGGAGGCACUCAGCCGCUUUAGAGAGUAGGUCACAGACAUCUGGUGGUGCCUCAGCGCCCGUGACCAAGCCCUGUGGUUGGGAAAUACGUCAGUGGACUCGUUUUGCCCUUGAGAUUAGACGUGAAAAUUUGUCAGGACGAGUUUACAGCAUCACUAGCGGAGUAGGUUUUUGGAUGAGAAGAGUUUUGGCUGUUCUUGUUUGUUGGUUUUGUUUUGAAAUUAAUAAUAAUAAUGGUUGUACUUUUUUUUCCCUGUAAACCUGAAACUGCUUUUUUUUUUUUUUUUUUUUUCCUGAAGGCAGACGCUUAACCGUCUGAGCCUCCCAGGCGCUCCUGUAACUGCUUUUUAAAAAGCCUGUUAAUUAAAAUAGUUGUAACAAGAAAGCUUGCCGGUCGGGUAAAAUUGGAUUAUAUUAUUAAUCCGUUUAAUGAUAAAUAACGUUAACUUUUUUUAAGAUUUUAUUUAUUUAUUUGACAGAGAGACAGUGAGAGAGGGAACACAGCAAGGGAGUGGGAGAGGGAGAAGCAGGCUUCCCGCUGAGCGGGGAGCCCGAUGCGGGGCUCGAUCCCAGGACCCUGGGAUCAUGACCUGAGCCGAAGGCAGAUGCUUAACGACUGAGCCACCCAGGCGCCCCUAACGUUAACUUUUAAGAGAUACUGGUUCUUAUGCGGAAGAUUAAGACGUGUUCAGGAUUUGAAAUGUCACUAACCUUCCAAGCAAUCGUGUUUCUUCUCUCUAGAGAGGGACAGUGAGGGUACUUUUCAACACAACGUCGUUAGAGCUGAGAUAGAGCCCUGAGGAGAGACACUGCAGGGUGUGGAGGGUGAAGAAAGAUAAUCAGCGAAUACUUUAUGGAAGUGUCUUGAAGAAUGAGUAACUUUGAAAUCAGGUUGGGUGGGAAUGUGGAGGUGGGCCGAGUAACAGGAGAAUAGGCCAGUAACUCACUACUGGGAGGUGGUUUUUGCAAAGUAAAAAAGUGCUGGGCAGAGAUGCAGGAGCUUCGGCUUUUAUCUGGCGAUGACAAAACCAAAGAAGGGUCUCUGCGUGAUUAAAAUGGAAUUUUAUGUAGAUCUUAUGCACUGGCUGCUAUUUUGCUGAGGAAGACUGUGUGUACCCAAUGUAGAGCUUGAUUAUGUGCUCAUUAAAUGUUUGAAUUGAGUGUUAUGCUCAUUUACUAGUUGUUUCAUUGUGUAAAAAGUGUCUGACCCUGCUCAUUUGUAAGCUUCUGUAAACAGGAAUUCUGCUUUUAUCUGUUUGCAUACCUAAUCCAAGUUGGGCAUUCACAAGUGUUCCG
rnacentral:lncRNA from 1 species